rnacentral:rRNA from 1 species
AUACGUAGGUGGCAAGCGUUAUCCGGAAUUAUUGGGUUUAAAGGGUGCGCAGGCGGCCAUUUAAGUCAGCGGUUAAAUCGUGGGGCUCAACCCCAUUCUGCCGUUGAUACUGGGUGGCUUGAUUGCGGUCGAGGUUGGCGGAAUUCGUUGUGUAGCGGUGAAAUGCAUAGAUAUGACGAAGAACACCGAUUGCGUAGGCAGCUGACCAGACCGCAAAUGACGCUCAUGCACGAAAGUGCGGGGAUCGAACAGGAUUAGAUACCCUGGUAGUCCGCACAGUAAACGCUGAAUACUUGUUUUCGGCGAUAUAAUGUCGGAGGCAAAGCGAAAGCGAUAAGUAUUCCACCUGGGGAGUACGCCGGCAACGGUGAAACUCAAAUGAAUUGGCGGGG